UUUUGUUAAAAAGAAAAAAAACAAUGUAAGUGUUUCCCAAUAAAAAUGAAUCUUUUUAUUUAAAUAAAACAUAAUUCUACUUUACCUUAAUUCCCGUGUAAAAACAGAAUCAGGACUUAUAUUAUGGGACGAAGGGAGUAUAUUUAAAGCAAUGUAUUUAUAUCUUAUAUACAGCAAGGGUUGCAUAUACCAUAACCCUAAAAAAAAUGUAUAAGAGAAUCCAUCCAAAUUAUGUGAAGUAUGUCCCACCAUUCUUUCUUCCCCCCAACUUUAGAAAUUAUGCUCGAUUUUCUCCAUGAAAGCUCAAAGGCUAACCGUUAAAGCUUCAACAACGUAUUGUCAACUCUUUCUUAAAUCCCAAAAUCACAAAAUCUAGUUGACGGAUUUGAAUUCUUCGGCACUUGAUAUCUAAGGAACUUGUUGCCCAAUUACUUCGAACAAAGGUAGAAGUUAUGCUAAUCAAGUCGAGCAGCUUGCGAGCAACUCGAGCUUGACUCAGUCAACGCUCGGUCAAAGCUCGAUUUGAGUUGGCUUUGCUCGAACUCGAUUUGAAACCUUAACGAGCACGAGUCGAGCAUGUUGGUCUACUUGGUACACUCAACAUAAUGGGUGGUAGGGAAGUUGAUGACAGAGACCUUGCACCAUUGCAGCACCAUCCUCAGGUAAUAUGAGGCCUAGAUAAAAGGUUUUAUAGAGGGAUUCCAAUAUUAGGUAUUGCUUUAUUGUGUCUGUGUGCGCACGUGCGAGUAUUUUGUGUAUGUGUGUGUGGAGAUGUACUAGUAUAUUUAUAAUGUAAGAAUAUAAUAACAAAGAUUGUAAAUGAAAUCUCUAGUGUUUUAACUACGUAAUUUAUCUUCAUGGUGUAUAGUUAACCACAUGCACUCUUCAUCCUAGUCGACCUGCAGCUCAUAGCUAACAAUAUAAGAAUGAUGUGGAUUGGACUCUUGCAUCAGUGGAGGUAUAAUCCAAAAGAAGGCUUUGUUUCCAAGUUUUGAAAAUAUCAUUUUCAUGAAUCGGGUGCGUCGAUUUGGCUGCAUUAACAUAAACAUCCUGGGACUUAUUGGAAAUCACUAUAUAGUCCUCCUUAUGCAUGAUCGUGCUCCGUUGCCUACAUAUUCUUGGAUGGAAUAGAUAUUGUGACCUUGAGAUUCGUUUUUGGAGAAUAAAUUUGCAGGAACGGGUUGAUCAAUUGAAAAUUUUAGAUAGAACAAAAAUAUUUAUAUGUUUUAUUUCUUAUAGCAUGGUUUAAUUAGUAGGAUUUCAUUUUCUUUCCUAGCUACUCCACUUAUGCGUUUUAAGUUUGUAUUAUCCCUCUAUAUAGUUUAUUGCAAUUGAAUAUAUAAUAAUAUCUCAUGUUUUGCCUU